GGGCUGGUGGAUGUGGUCCCGUCGGAGGUGUCCCGUGGUAACUCCUUUUUUUUUUCUUCCAAGUUUAUUUAUUUGAGAGAAAGAAUGAGCAGCACAGGGGCAGAGAGAGUGAGAGAAUCCCAAGCAGGCUCUGAGCGGUCAGCACAGAGCCCGACGGGGGGCUCGAACCCACCAACCGUGAGAUCAUGACCUGAGCCGAAGUCGAAUGCUUAACCGACUGAGCCACCCUGGUGUCCCGGUCCGUGGUAACUCCCGCAUGGCUGUCACCCAUGGCUCCCGCUUCCCCCUGACCCAGACCCUGAGACCCCACUGUCUUCCAGAUCUCUCUGCCCGGUAUCCCACACAUCCUCAGCCCCAGCCUGUCCAAACCCGCGCCCAGCAUCUUGUACCCUGAAGCUGUCUCCCCAAAGUCCCUGUUAUUUCUGGGUGACCGAGCUGCCUCCUCAGCUCUCUUGGGCGCCAGUCCCACGGAGAUGGGACUGGGACUGUGGGCAGGAGAGAAACACUGAGUUUUUUUCUCUGCCUGAGAACAGAACUCCAUUCGGAUCCUUUGCAUCCCCCAAAUCCUGCACCCGUGACAGUUCGGGUCACGAUCUCAAGAUUGGCGCGUUCGAGCCCCGGAUCGAGCUCUGUGCUGGCAGUGCUGAGCCUGCUUGGGGUUCUCUCUUCUUCUCUCUCCCUGCCCCUCCCCCCCCCCACUCGUGCUUUCUCCCUCCCUCAAAAUAAGUUUAAAAAUUUUAUGUUAAGACGUGUUAAAAUUAUGGAAAAAGCGGUCCUAAAAACAGGGAAAAGCACACAUUUUUGCUAGACAAUACCCUUAAAUACAGUGGAUUCUCACUCAUGGUAAUUAUGUUCCAUAAACCCAUCACGAACGCUGAAUUCGUGAAUGGGGAAUCGUUGCUUCUGGGGGACAGAGACAAGGUCAGGUGUCGACGAGCCUCCGGUCUUUGUCAACCGAUGGGUUCAUGACCUUGUUUUGUGGGUGCUUCUGUUCAGAGACGCCUAAUUGGAUAUAUAGCUGCUGCACCAACACUGAGCCCUAGCAGAUGGCUCCAUCCCUCCCGAACUUGCUUAUCUGCACGCGUGUUUUCCCCGUGAGGCGCUUCACGGAGACCACGCUUCUCCACGACACCUGGGGCCGUGUCGAACCCAGAGAUCACCAGCCAAAAGUGCAAAAAUGCUGGAAACCUGGCACCAACCAGAUCACAAAAGGACAUUUAUUGACAGCGAGAGCUGAAACGAGACAGAGGACCCCGCUGUGUGUCCUUGGUGAGCCACCUCCCCUUUUUUUGCCACCCCGCACGCCUGGCCGCCAUAGCGCCGUGAAUGCUGGUUUUGGAAUUACGAAUAAAUGUUAGCAGGUAGGGGGACUCAGAAAUAAAGGAUCUGCGAAGAGCAGUGAACCGUAUACCUAGAAAGUCCACAUGGGCCAAGGCAGUUGACAAUCUUCAGUUGUAUUUUUCACGCUAGAGUCGCCGGGUGAGUGGCCUUUGGAUGAGGCUGAUUGUACCUCAAAGAUCUAGCCAGGACGCUGGAGCUAGGGAAAUAUUGAUAUUUUUGGAUUAAAGGCUUUAUAAAAGAUGUAAGUUAAUUUGCUUGAUAUAAAUGAACCCCAAACACUCAUCAUUAAAGGGAAAACACACGUAUUAAUAAAAGUGAAUCAUUUGUGCUGA